UGCUCUCCCAGCUCCCCAAAUCUGCCUUGCUUUCUCGUUCCUCUAGGCCCCUGUAUCUUGCUCUUUUCCAGAACCCUCUGCACCCCUGCCUAAAUCCUCCCUGUGAGCCUGUGCUUCCCUCCAGGCAGACACAGGUCCCGCUACAGAAGGCAGGCACCUGGUCCCUUCCCUGGACCUCACCUUCUUCUGUAAGGCGCAGUGAAAGACGAAGAUGAAGACCCCCUGGAAGGCGUUGAAGGUGGUGAAGAGAUAGGCCAUGACCACCGACUCCUUAUUGAUGAAGAGGAGGCCGAAAGCCCAGGAAGAGCAGCUCGGCCAGGAAGAGGUUGAUGCACAGGUUCUUGUGGAUGGUGUUCCGGUCAGUUUGCAGUCCCCGCAGGAAGCAGAAAGUGGAGAUACAGAUGGCCAGGCAGACCAGGGAGAUGACGAUGCCCACCCAGGCGGCACGCUCACUUCCUCAUGCUCUGGAAGGCUCGUGGAGAGAUGACAAAGGUGACACCAACGUGCUUCUCCAGAGUGCCUUGGGAGAAGGUGGGACCGUGACCAAAGAGAACCAGACGUGUGGCCUCAUGCCCCGGGCAAGACUCAGGCCCCCCAUGCCCACGAAGCUGGCCUUCCCCGGCACCGCCCAUGCAGCACUUUCUAGGAUGCCGUGCAAAGCCGGGCCAGAGAGUGGGCGCGCCCGGAGCGGAGCGCUGGCCAGCUUACGAUCUCGCGGUGAGCCAUGAGCACGGCGAAGUUGGUGAGGUGGCUGCAGGCACACGUGGUGUGGGUCUUGUUGGACUCCACCAGGCGGCAGCCCUGCGUCGACCAGUAGCCCAGCAUGGAACGCUCCGAGUAGUUCCAGAAGGAGCAGUUGGCAUUGAAGUGGUUCUUGGCCUGUUGUGUGGUGGUGACCGGGGGGUCAGAUCCGGGGAGUCCCACUCCAGCCCGCACACCCGGCUAUGGGGAUAGCGACAAGCAGGAGACGAGUGCCUGGGGCUCUGGGCUCCAGGUGACAGUCUGAGACCUCUGGGGACAAAAUGGCCCAAGCUGCUGAGGUGGGGGCUGGGGCCCCAGGGAGGGGUUGUAACUUGCUCUCGGGGUGGGUGAACACACAGUAGGGGGGCGUGCACAGCCAGGGACAAUGGAGGAUGCUGGGACCUCACCGAGGGAGGGGGCGCCUCAGCUCACCUCCAGGUGGGCCACAGUGAAGAUGACAGGGUCCAUGAGGAAAACUCGGCUGGACUCCUUGUUGAUGGACGCUGCGAUGACCUGGGAGUUCACCACCAGGGAGGCGCCCCCCAGGCCCCCCGCGCCCGCUUCACCUGCCAGCUUCACCGUGGCAUUCUCGGUGGACAGGAAGAGGCCCAGGUUGUUGUAGAGGAUGAAGACAACUUUGACCACUCCUGGGGAGAACAGGCACGGCAGGGUGUGUUGUCAGCCCCUGGCUGGUGUGCAGCUCCACCACGCUGGCCGCCAGGAUCUCUGAAGCCAGGCAGGCUGCAGCCCAGGCAAGUGGGGCUCUGGGAGCCCUUCUGCGGGACCCCUGCUCAGUUAUAGGCAGCUUUCAACGGCAGGGCAGUGGGCCGGGAUACACAGGCCGGGUCCCCGGCCCACCUCUCACUUACUGUGUAACGUUGAGCAAAUCCCUAACCUCUCUGGACCUUCAUCUCAAAUGGCGCAAGCCUCCCUGAACUGCCACUGCACAGGAGUGAGCCCUACUAACUGCGAAGCGUGCUUGGCUCUGUGGGGCUUCGGGGGGGGGUCUCCACGAACCCCCUGAGAUGUUAACACUAGCUUCAAUGAAGGACACCUGUGUGUGGCCACGGGUCCCAACCUCCUUUCGGAUUCUUCAGUGCGAUAAAAGCUAAGAACCGCCGUCCUCGGCGAGAGGAGCAGGGGUGCCCGCACGGGGCUCGGGCACUGACCGUUCCGGCUGUUCUGCUUGAUGGUGUUGGCGGACAGCUGGAUGGAGUUCUCGCUCGGGUACUCCUGGGGGAACACCAGCUCUUGCACUUGACCCUCUGUGUUCAGGACUGUGACCUCGAGGACUGUGGGGACAGGGGACGGCAGGGCACACAAGGUUGGGGGUCUGUCCACAGUCCAGAGGCCCGGGCUGUGGCAAGAGGCCCAAGGUCGAGGGCCAGGGUAUCCCCCACGGUCUCCAGGCCGAGGGGGCCCCCACCGUUCAAGAUUUGCGCCCAAACUUGCCCUAGCGCGACUGUAGCACUCACCCACGUUCUGCUUGGCGGCCAGGAAGCGGGCAGGCUCCCUGACGUUGUCGGCCAGCAGGAAGGCGCCCUCCUCUAGGACAUCCAGGAGCAUGGUGGCCGUGUGCACCUGCUCGGUGGCAUUCAUGUCCUUCCAGGACUCAAGAGCCUCUGGCCGCAGCAGGUUGUCCACCGUCUCCACCACGGCCUGCAACGGUGCGGGGGCAGCUCCGUGAUUCCCCCUACAUCCUCCAGUUCCCUGGGCUGGGCUCUGCGCCCCCUUCUCCGAAACUCCAUCCCCAGCGCCACCUGGGGCCUGCCCAGGAGCGACAAGGGCUGCCCCACCCCCUCGGCCAGCAGGAGCCCUUGAGCCUCACCUUGAUAUAGUCCUUACAGGUUCUCUCUCGCUUGUGCAUCUGGGGAAAGAGAUGGAGGUGCUCUCAGGGCUGGUCUCCCAGCCCCACUCCUCUAACCCCGACACUCAUGUCUGGGCCCCAGGGAGCUUGCUCUUCUGCCUCUGCUACUGACCUGGGGCUAGGCCAUGAGCGAGAACCAUUCCUAAGGGAGCCCACACCCCCAGGACCGUCCAGGGCAGUUCAGGAGGGAGCCCCAGUAGACCUGGGGUCUGUCCUUCCUUCUCCCGUCACCAUGGGUGGCAGCCCAGCUCCGCGGUAACAGGCCGGCUAUCUCCUAAGUUCCCAGGGCAGUGCCCCCUGCCCUGCUGGCCCUGCUGCCAGGCUCUACCUUGUUGUAGUUCUUGCCAGCUGACUCGCGCUCGAUGGGCCGCAGGGCCUGCAGCUGGGCAUCCAGGAUGUCCAGCAGCUGCUCCAUCAGCUUCACAGAGGAGGACACAUCACCCGCAUAGAUGGAGCCCCGGGUGUGGCGGGCCAGCUCGCUGGCAAUGUUGGCUGCGUUCUCCCCGCUCUUGAUCUGUGUGAGACGGGAGUGGGAUGCCCCGGCUCUGUCAGGGACCGUUUUGCUUCCCUCUUCACGCGCCCAGCCUGCUCAGCCCCUCUCAUCCCUCUCUCUGCUGCCCCUUCUCCCUGUCUGCCUUCUCCCUCCCCAUCUAUCUCUGCUCCCUCUGCAGGCCAGGGAGUGGACCCCUGCUUGUCUCCCCAGUUGUUCCAUUGCCCCCACUGUGCCCUGUGCCCGGGCACCCAGGGCCUGCUGUGUGAGCACGUGCGCCUGACUGGGAGGGGCAGCUUCUGCUGGUACCUUCUGGGCCACCUGGUUGACCCAGGGGGAGGUGCAGUUGCUGAGGUCAGGGCCCCGGGGGUUCCAGAGCCCCAGGGCUGGUAGACACUGGAAGGAGGCAAUUCCUGUAGGGACAGACACACAGGAACAGAGAAGGGAGCCACAGGGAAGGAGAGAAGGAUGGGCCAAAGCAGGGAGAAAGGAGAUGACAGAGAGAGGGGGACGAGUGGGUGAGGAGAGAGGUGAGGGGAACACGGAAGACCAGACAUGAAGCAGGCCGGACAGUCAAGAGAGGUGUCACUCUGAGGUGACAUAAGCCACUCCUUCUUCCCCUAAACCCUCCCUCUGGGCUCCUCUUCCGUCUUUGCCUACCACAGUUGGAACCUUCUAGCAAAGCUCGCCUUGGAAGCCGCCCCCCCCCCCCCACGAAGCCUCUUCUGACCCUCCCCUUGGGAUCCCUAGAGCAUGCGGUCUGGCUCCACCCUCUCUGGGCACUUCAGCUGCUGUGUCCUGUCACCAGCUGCUCCCGGGCCUCUUCCACUUCAGUCUGAAGCCAGGACUCAAGUUACCUCCCGUGGGCUCCCCGCAGGGUCCACCCAGCGCUUUGCACGUGGCGGGUGCUUAGUAUCGCAGGAGGGGACGGGGGACGAGGCAUGGGGCACUAACUGAGCUGCUGCUGUGUCCUGGGAGCUCUGCUGGGCUCUGGGGACACAGCUGCAGACAUCAGGCGUGACCCCUGCAUGAAACCCACACUCUACCAGGGGAGAUGGACAGGUAAGUGCAUCUACGUUGAGCUGAGUUAAGGGCAUGUCCCCCGUCCCUUCCCUGGCCAGACCCAGCAGUGGCCACUCCCCAAGCCAGCUGCAGCGGAGGUAACCUCUGCUCUGCACUCACCUCGAGUCCCCUUGGGGCAGGGCCUCUCCACCAGCAUGCCCUGCUGGGUGGCCGGCCACUGGACCCGCCGCACCUCUCGAGGUUCGCAGAAGAGUUCCGGGGACACGUGCAGAUUGG